rnacentral:rRNA from 1 species
CGAAAGCCUGACGGAGCAACGCCGCGUGGGGGAAGAAGGUUCUUGGAUUGUAAACCCCUUUUCUCAGGGAAGAAGUUCUGACGGUACCUGAGGAAUCAGCCUCGGCUAACUCCGUGCCAGCAGCCGCGGUAAUACGGAGGAGGCAAGCGUUAUCCGGAAUUACUGGGCGUAAAGCGUUCGUAGGGGGCUCGUCAAGUCUGCUGUCAAAGCUCGGAGCUCAACUCCGACCCGGCAGUGGAAACUGGGGAGCUAGAGGGCGGCAGGGGCAGAAGGAAUUCCCGGUGUAGCGGUGAAAUGCGUAGAUAUCGGGAAGAACACCAGAGGCGAAAGCGUUCUGCUGGGCCGCGCCUGACCCUGAGGGACGAAAGCCAGGGGAGCG